CCAGACUCCUACGGGAGGCAGCAGUGGGGAAUAUUGGACAAUGGGGGAAACCCUGAUCCAGCGACGCCGCGUGAGUGAAGAAGUAUUUCGGUACGUAAAGCUCUAUCAGCAGGAAAGAAAAUGACGGUACCUGACUAAGAAGCCCCGGCUAACUACGUGCCAGCAGCCGCGGUAAUACGGAGGAUGCGAGCGUUAUCCGGAUUUAUUGGGUUUAAAGGGUGCGUAGGCGGGAGAUCAAGUCAGCGGUAAAAAUGCGGGGCCCAACCCCGUCGAGCCGUUGAAACUGGUUUUCUUGAGUGGGCGAGAGGUAUGCGGAAUGCGUGGUGUAGCGGUGAAAUGCAUAGAUAUCACGCAGAACCCCGAUUGCGAAGGCGGCAUACCGGCGCCCAACUGACGCUGAGGCACGAAAGCGUGGGUAUCGAACAGGAUUAGAUACCCGGGUAUGC
rnacentral:rRNA from 1 species